rnacentral:rRNA from 1 species
GAUGAACGCUGGCGGCGUGCCUAAUACAUGCAAGUCGAGCGAACAGAUGAGGAGCUUGCUCCUCUGACGUUAGCGGCGGACGGGUGAGUAACACGUGGAUAACCUACCUAUAAGACUGGGAUAACUUCGGGAAACCGGAGCUAAUACCGGAUAAUAUAUUGAACCGCAUGGUUCAAUAGUGAAAGACGGUUUUGCUGUCACUUAUAGAUGGAUCCGCGUCGCAUUAGCUAGUUGGUAAGGUAACGGCUUACCAAGGCAACGAUGCGUAGCCGACCUGAGAGGAUGAUCGGCCACACUGGAACUGAGACACGGUCCAGACUCCUACGGGAGGCAGCAGUAGGGAAUCUUCCGCAAUGGGCGAAAGCCUGACGGAGCAACGCCGCGUGAGUGAUGAAGGUCUUCGGAUCGUAAAACUCUGUUAUUAGGGAAGAACAAAUGUGUAAGUAACUAUGCACGUCUUGACGGUACCUAAUCAGAAAGCCACGGCUAACUACGUG